rnacentral:lncRNA from 1 species
AUGAUGAAAAUGGACACAACUCUGCAUCAGCCCUGGAAAACACCGAUUUGUGAGCUUACAGCACGAUAUGUGGGAAUACUGUCCUUCAUCUUUUACAUGCCGAGACUCCAUUUCUCUAAAGCAUGCUGGAAGAGGCAGUCCUGGUACUUGAGCUGUACUUGACUAUGAAGCAUCUACCCCAGAUUGCAGGAAACUACUGCACUUACUUAAGCCUGCCUUGAACUUUGGUACAACAUACCAUGGGGACCAUGUCAAAUCACACUCACCUCCCCCUACCCAGGGAUACACAAGCUCUCCUAGCACCCCUGUCCUGAUUCAGGUGGUUUAACUGAGCAUUAAUGAUAAUCAGUUACUCACAAACAUCUGAGCUGAAACUUCUCAUUUGCUGAGCUUUUGUUUUCCACAGGUGUAAGUGCACAGGGCUCCACACCCUGCUAGUUUCCAGUCUUUGUUUUCCAUACUGCUUGAAUUUCCAUCCUUCCUCCCCACCACACCUGCCACAGAGGAAACACCUAAUAUGCCUGUGUAUCUUUUUUUUUGCCUGUAAUACGUUAACUUAAUUCAAUGGGGCAUGUUGAUUCCUGAGAAGUGUGUAAAGUCAAGGAAUGCAUCUUCUAGGGGAUGUAAGGUUGAGGUGAUGGACCUCUCAGGCAGUGUUUCCCCUACACCACACAAGUAAGAUAGAAUUUUUCACCUCUCCUGAAAAAAAAAAAAAAGAAAAAAAAGAAGGCUGUCUUAACAUGUUUAUAACUGUGGCUGCAUCCUAGAAAAUAGAUAACCUGAGGAAAAAAAAUAAAAGACUAUGAGGUAU